UACUUUCAGCUUAGGUAAUCACUAAUUCGUUUGAAUACAGUACUGUACUGUACCUGGAAUCUCGUCUUGUUCUACUGCACCCCAAAAUCACACAUCACUGUUUGCCUCAUUCCCCUCAACACCACAUUGGACCAAACAGCCCCAAAUUGGACCCAGGCGACUCAAUGGCUUUGGUUCAGUUCCAGGGUGUGGUACUGUACUGCCCCAAGAUUUGUUGCAACCUCGAGAUCUGGCCAACCAACAGACAUUGUCGCCAACCUCGAACCGUGCCGGAUGGGUUUUGCUUAUUCGGGAUACCGAGACAAGCAAUGCCAGUGUCAAGACGGGGUGAAGUAUGCAGUUUCAAUACAAAAACCCAUUCAACUACAAU
rnacentral:misc_RNA from 1 species